UUUAGCAAAGACUCUGGUUUCCAUAUUGUGCUGUAUAAUGGGUAUAGCUUCAACAGUAGGGCUGAAGCAGGGUCUAGUUUCUGUAGUAGGUGUUGUCGAAGGUUGUACAUUUACGGUAGGCUUAUUUGUUGCAUGGUUAGGUUCUGUAACAGAUUUAGGUUCCAUAGGUGUUGUUGACCAUGGUCUGUUAUGUCUACGUGGCGGUGUAGAAGGUAGGACUUUUAUGGUAGGUUUGUUAGGAAGCACUGAGACCGGUUUUGGGGAGGCGCUAGCUUCUAUGACGGGCUUCAUAAAGGGUUUAGCUUCAAUAGUAGGGCUAAAAGAGUCUGCGGUAGGUUUUGUAAAGGGUUUAGUUUCUAAAGCAGGGGUUGAGGGAGGUAUGGCCUCUGUUAUGGGAGGUGUGGGAGGUUGUACAAUUAUUAUAGGCCUGUUAGUAUGUGGGACAGGUUUUGGAGAGGAACUAUUGUUGUAAACAGGCUUUGUAAAAUGCUUAGCUUGUAAAGUAGGGCUUAUUGGGGAUCUAAUUUCUGUGGAUGGCUGUGCACUUAUGAUAGUUGAGUUAGUACGUGUAGGCUCUAGGGAUGGUUUCAGCCAAGCUCCAUUUGCUACAAUAGGGUUURUAAAUUGUUUACCUUCGUUCGUAGAGCUGGCUGAGAAUCUCGUUUCAGUAGCGGACUUGGUGGAAGGUUUUUCAUCAAUGGUAGAUUUUGUAGAUUGUCUGCAUUCAAUUGCUUUGUGGGAGUUGGUUUCUACAAAAUGCUUCCUGGUAUGGUUUGCAUGGUACUGCAUGGUACUGGGCAGAAUAUUUUCUGGAGUAGACUUGCCAGGUUGUACAGGUUCUAUUAAAGGCUCGUUGGGGAAUUGGGUUUCUAUGCUAGGCUGCUGGGAUGUUGGGCUACAUGCUAGCGUGUGGAUGUUGGCUACUAUGCUAGGCGUGCUGGGAUGUUGGGCUACUAUGCUAGGCGUGCUGGGAUGUGGGCUACUAUGCUAGGCGUGCUGGGAUGUUGGGCUACUAUGCUAGGCGUGCUGGGAUGUUGGGCUACUAUGCUAGGCGUGCUGGGAUGUUGGGCUACUAUGCUGGCGUGCUAGAGAGUUGGGCUACU
ensembl:lncRNA